rnacentral:rRNA from 1 species
GUGCCAGCAGCCGCGGUAAUACGUAGGGUGCGAGCGUUGUCCGGAAUUAUUGGGCGUAAAGAGCUCGUAGGCGGUCUGUCGCGUCUGCUGUGAAAACCCGAGGCUCAACCUCGGGCCUGCAGUGGGUACGGGCAGACUAGAGUGCGGUAGGGGAGAAUGGAAUUCCUGGUGUAGCGGUGGAAUGCGCAGAUAUCAGGAGGAACACCGAUGGCGAAGGCAGUUCUCUGGGCCGUAACUGACGCUGAGGAGCGAAAGCGCGGGGAGCGAACAGGAUUAGAUACCCUGGUAGUCCACGCCGUAAACGUUGGGCGCUAGAUGUGGGGAUCAUUCCACGGUUUCCGUGUCGCAGCUAACGCAUUAAGCGCCCCGCCUGGGGAGUACGGCCGCAAGGCUAAAACUCAAAGGAAUUGACGGGGGCCCGCACAAGCGGCGGAGCAUGCGGAUUAAUUCGAUGCAACGCGAAGAACCUUACCAAGGCUUGACAUACACGAGAACGCCCUAGAAAUAGGGAACUCUUUGGACACUCGUGAACAGGUGGUGCAUGGUUGUCGUCAGCUCGUGUCGUGAGAUGUUGGGUUAAGUCCCGCAACGAGCGCAACCCUCGUUCUAUGUUGCCAGCGCGUAAUGGCGGGAACUCAUAGGAGACUGCCGGGGUCAACUCGGAGGAAGGUGGGGAUGACGUCAAAUCAUCAUGCCCCUUAUGUCUUGGGCUUCACGCAUGCUACAAUGGCCGGUACAAAGGGCUGCAAUACCGUAAGGUGGAGCGAAUCCCGAAAAGCCGGUCUCAGUUCGGAUUGAGGUCUGCAACUCGACCUCAUGAAGUCGGAGUCGCUAGUAAUCGCAGAUCAGCAACGCUGCGGUGAAUACGUUCCC